rnacentral:rRNA from 1 species
GACGAACGCUGGCGGCGUGCUUAACACAUGCAAGUCGAACGGAAAGGCCCUGCUUUUGUGGGGUGCUCGAGUGGCGAACGGGUGAGUAACACGUGAGUAACCUGCCCUUGACUUUGGGAUAACUUCAGGAAACUGGGGCUAAUACCGGAUAGGAGCUCCUGCUGCAUGGUGGGGGUUGGAAAGUUUCGGCGGUUGGGAUGGACUCGCGGCUUAUCCGCUUGUUGGUUGGGUAGUGGCUUACCAAGGCUUUGAAGGGUAGCAGGCCUGAGAGGGUGACCGGCCACAUUGGGACUGAGAUACGGCCCAGACUCCUACGGGUGGCAGCAGUGGGGAAUAUUGCGCAAUGGGCGGAAGCCUGAUGCAGCAACGCCGCGUGCGGGAUGACGGCCUUCGGGUUGUAAACCGCUUUCGCCUGUGACGAAGCGUGAGUGACGGUAAUGUGUAAAGAAGCACCGGCUAACUACGUG